UAAGAUUUUGCCUGCAGUAAUAG
rnacentral:misc_RNA from 1 species